GAUGAACGCUAGCUACAGGCUUAACACAUGCAAGUCGAGGGGCAGCAUGGUCUUAGCUUGCUAAGGCCGAUGGCGACCGGCGCACGGGUGAGUAACACGUAUCCAACCUGCCGUCUACUCUUGGACAGCCUUCUGAAAGGAAGAUUAAUACAAGAUGGCAUCAUGAGUCCGCAUGUUCACAUGAUUAAAGGUAUUCCGGUAGACGAUGGGGAUGCGUUCCAUUAGAUAGUAGGCGGGGUAACGGCCCACCUAGUCUUCGAUGGAUAGGGGUUCUGAGAGGAAGGUCCCCCACAUUGGAACUGAGACACGGUCCAAACUCCUACGGGAGGCAGCAGUGAGGAAUAUUGGUCAAUGGGCGAGAGCCUGAACCAGCCAAGUAGCGUGAAGGAUGACUGCCCUAUGGGUUGUAAACUUCUUUUAUAAAGGAAUAAAGUCGGGUAUGCAUACCCGUUUGCAUGUACUUUAUGAAUAAGGAUCGGCUAACUCCGUGCCAGCAGCCGCGGUAAUACGGAGGAUCCGAGCGUUAUCCGGAUUUAUUGGGUUUAAAGGGAGCGUAGAUGGAUGUUUAAGUCAGUUGUGAAAGUUUGCGGCUCAACCGUAAAAUUGCAGUUGAUACUGGAUAUCUUGAGUGCAGUUGAGGCAGGCGGAAUUCGUGGUGUAGCGGUGAAAUGCUUAGAUAUCACGAAGAACUCCGAUUGCGAAGGCAGCCUGCUAAGCUGCAACUGACAUUGAGGCUCGAAAGUGUGGGUAUCAAACAGGAUUAGAUACCCUGGUAGUCCACACGGUAAACGAUGAAUACUCACUGUUUGCGAUAUACGGCAAGCGGCCAAGCGAAAGCGUUAAGUAUUCCACCUGGGGAGUACGCCGGCAACGGUGAAACUCAAAGGAAUUGACGGGGGCCCGCACAAGCGGAGGAACAUGUGGUUUAAUUCGAUGAUACGCGAGGAACCUUACCCGGGCUUAAAUUGCAGAUGAAUUACGGUGAAAGCCGUAAGCCGCAAGGCAUCUGUGAAGGUGCUGCAUGGUUGUCGUCAGCUCGUGCCGUGAGGUGUCGGCUUAAGUGCCAUAACGAGCGCAACCCUUGUUGUCAGUUACUAACAGGUUCCGCUGAGGACUCUGACAAGACUGCCAUCGUAAGAUGUGAGGAAGGUGGGGAUGACGUCAAAUCAGCACGGCCCUUACGUCCGGGGCUACACACGUGUUACAAUGGGGGGUACAGAGGGCCGCUACCACGCGAGUGGAUGCCAAUCCCCAAAACCUCUCUCAGUUCGGACUGGAGUCUGCAACCCGACUCCACGAAGCUGGAUUCGCUAGUAAUCGCGCAUCAGCCACGGCGCGGUGAAUACGUUCCCGGGCCUUGUACACACCGCCCGUCAAGCCAUGGGAGCCGGGGGUACCUGAAGUGCGUAACCGCGAGGAGCGCCCUAGGGUAAAACUGGUGACUGGGGCU
rnacentral:rRNA from 1 species